AUUCAAGACAUUAAAUAGUUCCACUUUGUAAGUUAUGGUACUUGUAUGGUAUGAUCAAUAUCAUCCCAGGUUCAUUUUUUAUUUGCCUUUGCAUUCUGUACUUUUUUGUGCAUU